UUGGCUCUUUCGAGCGAUAUCCCCGUGGUGGUGGUGGAGGGCACGGGGAGGGCCGCCGACCUCAUCGCUUAUGCUUUUUCGUUGACCAUCCGAACCGCCAGAGAUGGCUACGUGCUGGAAAAACGCCACGACGCGCCACUCAUGGAGAGAAUAAGGAACCUGAUGACAGAGUUGGACAAUAAGCCACAUUUACACAAGGAAUGCCUCGAGAGAUUGCGAGAGUGUUGCGAGAAGAAACAAAUGAUCACCAUUUUCGACAUCAAUUCCCACGAAGGAUUAGAUAAAUUCAUUUUACGUGCUUUGU